rnacentral:rRNA from 1 species
AAUGGGGGAAACCCUGAUGGUGCGACGCCGCGUGGGGGAUAAGGUCUUCGGAUUGUAAACCCCUGUCAUGUGGGACAUUAAAAAGAUAGUACCACAAGAGGAGGAGACGGCUAACUCUGUGCCAGCAGCCGCGGUAAUACAGAGGUCUCAAGCGUUGUUCGGAAUCACUGGGCGUAAAGCGUGCGUAGGCUGUUUCGUAAGUCGUGUGUGAAAGGCGCGGGCUCAACCCGCGGACGGCACAUGAUACUGCGAGACUAGAGUAAUGGAGGGGGAACCGGAAUUCUCGGUGUAGCAGUGAAAUGCGUAGAUAUCGAGAGGAACACUCGUGGCGAAGGCGGGUUCCUGGACAUUAACUGACGCUGAGGCACGAAGGCCAGGGGAGCGAAAGGG